rnacentral:rRNA from 1 species
UUGGAGGGCAAGUCUGGUGCCAGCAGCCGCGGUAAUUCCAGCUCCAAUAGCGUAUAUUAAAGUUGUUGCAGUUAAAAAGCUCGUAGUUGAACCUCGGGGUCUACCCAUUGGUCAGGCUUAAUUGUCUGCACUGGUGAGAUGGAUCUCUACCUUCUGAGGAACUUUCAUGCCAUUUAUUUGGUGUGAUGGGAAAUCAGGACUGUUACUUUGGAAAAAUUAGAGUGUUUAAAGCAGACUAUCGUCUGAAUACAUUAGCAUGGAAUAAUGAAAUAGGACGGACUGAUUCUAUUUCGUUGGUUUCUAGGAUCACCGUAAUGAUUAAUAGGGAUAGUUGGGGGCAUUAGUAUUCAAUUGUCAGAGGUGAAAUUCUUGGAUUUAUUGAAGACUAACUACUGCGAAAGCAUUUGUCAAGGAUGUUUUCAUUAAUCAAGAACGAAAGUUAGGGGAUCGAAGACGAUCAGAUACCGUCGUAGUCUUAACCAUAAACUAUGCCGACUAGGGAUCGGACGAAGUUAAUUUUAUAAUGACGCGUUCGGCACCUUACGGGAAACCAAAGUGUUUGGGUUC